GACAAAGUAUUUUCCUUUAUUGCCAGCAUUUAAGUGUGUGGGUGGCGUGAAAUGGCACUUCACCAGGAUCUUACUUGGAUGAUCGAAUUGCUCUGAACUUGAGUCUCCUUCUCCAGGAUAGCUGAGAGUCCUGUCUGCUCUCCUCACCUUUCCAGUGUUAUGAUGAUCUUACUGUUAUUUACAGGUUUUUUUUUUUUCUUGGUUCAAAUUCCUAAGAGACAGAAGUUGAUGGGAAAAUAUAGGAACAUGAAGAAAAUCCAUGCAGUGAGUAUUUAAAUAUUCAAACAACAAAUAAAGAAGAAGUGCAAACAUUUGUAAAAAAAAAAAAAAAAAGAAAAAAAAAAGGAAGCCCUAAGAAUGAGAGGAGAAACUAGAAAUCACAGAGGAGCAAGAAGUAGGUCCGUAUACCAGAGAGAACGUCAAGGCGAGUUACCAUGUCAUAUAAGAGCUAACCUUUGUUUAAUGGAGGAACAGGAGCCAAGAAUGAAGUCUGUCUGGGGCCACCCCUCUUUCUCUCGACCCUCAUCCUUAUUCCAGAGGAUAUCUGUGCUGUAAACAGGGGCCCUUUUCACUGUGUACUUGGGGCCACAUUUUUCACAUUUUUGUGCUUUUUUGCUGGUGAUUCUGCAGUUUAAAACGGCUUCCAAGAUGCUGAGAGGCUGCCCAGUGAUCCUACGUGCAAGAAGCUUGAGACAGUCCUUAUGGAGGAAGCAUGUGUGUUAGGGAAUCUCUGUUGCACAUCUGUUACCCUGCUGCCGGCCAUGAGUGCAGUGAAUCGCCGGUGUCUAUUAAAUAAGGUGUCUUUAAACAGAAACACACAAAAAAUCAAGGGUUAUGUGUCAAUUGGUCAAUGAAAACAUUGUCAUCAAAGGUUCCCUGUACUUCCCCAGCCCUGGAGCAAAGGUUCAGGAUUCACUAAUUCAGCGUUCUCAAUGACUUUUAUAAAACUGAACUGUCCCGGAGAGCAAGUAUCGACUGUACUCAUGUUGAUAAUCUAUAACUAAAAAUAACUAAAGUUCAACAUAUUAAUGUGUUUCAUUGUAAUGAAGACCCUACAGCAGGAUGGGAAAGUGACUCCUCAGUUGCAACAAACCCAGAGCACCCCCCCACCCCUACCACACACACAAGGUUGUGAGUCCUGUAAGGAUAUUGUGAGCCCCUGGUCGGGGAGCAGACACAGCAACUGAAGAGGGGCAGCUCUUCUGAAGAUGACACGAGGACAAUCUGAAUCAUUUCAGGUGGGUUGGGAUGGACCUGUGAGAUGAUUUUCAAUGUAGGCAUGAAACCCACACCCUGUUGCCACCCUUCCACUAAUAAAAAGUUCAAACUUCAUAAAAAUUAAGUUAUA
rnacentral:lncRNA from 1 species